CCCCUGGUGGCUCAGUUGGUAAAGAAUCUGCCUGCAAUGCAGGAGACCCAGGUUCAACCCCUGGGAGGGGA
rnacentral:tRNA from 1 species